rnacentral:rRNA from 1 species
AUUGAACGCUGGCGGCAUGCUUUACACAUGCAAGUCGAACGGUAACAGGUCUUCGGAUGCUGACGAGUGGCGAACGGGUGAGUAAUGCAUCGGAACGUGCCCAAUCGUGGGGGAUAACGUAGCGAAAGUUACGCUAAUACCGCAUAAGCCCUGAGGGGGAAAGUGGGGGACCGCAAGGCCUCACGCGAAUGGAGCGGCCGAUGUCAGAUUAGCUAGUUGGUGGGGUAAAGGCCCACCAAGGCGACGAUCUGUAGCGGGUCUGAGAGGAUGAUCCGCCACACUGGGACUGAGACACGGCCCAGACUCCUACGGGAGGCAGCAGUGGGGAAUUUUGGACAAUGGGCGCAAGCCUGAUCCAGCCAUGCCGCGUGCGGGACGAAGGCC